UUGGUGUACAUUACAGUAAAACUCAUGCUUCUUUUUUAUUUGCUUUCUUUUUAUUAGAUGCUGAAAUACUGGAACAGAAUAAUUUAUCCCCAAUAACAACAAACCAGACAGCCUAUCACUGUGCUC